UGAGGAAUAUUGGUCAAUGGGCGAGAGCCUGAACCAGCCAAGUAGCGUGCAGGAUGACGGCCCUAUGGGUUGUAAACUGCUUUUAUGCGGGGAUAAAGUGCGUGACGUGUCGUGCAUUGCAGGUACCGCAUGAAUAAGGACCGGCUAAUUCCGUGCCAGCAGCCGCGGUUAUACGGAAGGUCCGGGCGUUAUCCGGAUUUAUUGGGUUUAAAGGGAGCGUAGGCCGCCAGAUAAGCGUGCUGUAAAAUGUACCGGCUCAACCUGGGAAUUGCAGCGCGAACUGUUUGGCUUGAUUGCACGGUAAGCAGGCGGAAUUCAUGGUGUAGCGAUAAAAUACUUAGAUAUCAUGAAGAACUCCGAUUGCGAAGGCAGCUUGCUGCAGUGCGACUGACGCUGAUGCUCGAAGGUGCGGGUAUCAAACAGG
rnacentral:rRNA from 1 species